GUGGGGUGGGGGUGUGAAAAACGAGACUCUUCUAGCCUUGACUUUGAGAGGAGGCCACCCCAGCGCUUGGUCUGUUUUCAUAAGCUUAAGGAGACAACACAGACCUUCUCGGAAAAAUAAAAACAAGCAGUAGGUACCAGCCGGACGGGACCUGCCUGGAGCUGCGCAACAGCACAGAGCACCGCAGACGCCUGCGGGGUGCCUCGACCCGCACCCGAAGAACACCCUUCCCCGCCUGGAUCGCAACCCUGCUUCUUCGAGGCGCGCGGGCCCCCCAACCUAGCGACCCCCGGGCUUCGCGGCGUGGCCUUACCCGACUCCACGCGACCCCGGCGCUCCUUUCCUGGGACCCAUCACUGUCCCGCUCCAACCCCGAUUUCAACACUGCAGCUCGGAUCGCGUAGGGAGAGCAAAGUCGUAGAGCGCCCCCUCCCCCGUGCGCCCUCUGCCCAGUUCCCGGGCCUGCGCCCCGGUUAAAAAGGAGAAGUGGAAGGUAUGCAAAUGACAAGCAAAUUGGAAGAGCUGGGAAGAAAGGCGGCUAUAAUAAACAAGACAAAGGGAGAGGACGUGGGGAGGAGCCCCGGACUUUUCGCCCAGGGAGAUGGAAGGCUGAGGCUCGCCGGAGAGCAGAGACCCUGGCGAACAAAAAAGCGACCCGGUCCCCUCUGCAGUCCUCUCCGGGGAAGAGAGGGCAAGAGAAAGCAGGGAAGGAAGCCGAUGCCUCCUCGCACCCCAGAAACAAGACACAAAAGAGAGCGGAAAAGGCGCGCGCGCGCACGCUGAUGGUUUGCGGGUGAUGGAUGUGAGAUCGGACCGGGGCCGGGUCUGCUGGAAAAAAAAAAUUGAGGGAGUUGGCUGUUUGUGCAAAGGUGACUGGUUGACUAAGAAGACCAGCGGUUUUUUUUAUCUGCAGAACAAAUAAAGCCUGGUCAAAGAUGGAGGAAAAGCUUUCCAAGAUGGAGGAGCCAUGUGAUAGGAGGAGCCCAGAUUCCAGAGUUGUCAGUUGAAGAAAGGACACCCCCAAAUCUCAUGUAAUCCAGACCACAUGUUCAUGGGCUAGGCAGGUGCUCCACUGCCAAGCUACAUCCCCAGCCCAACACUGUCCAUCUUCAAAGUUCCCCUUCUCGGUGACACGGGACUACAGUUCUGAUGGUUAAGCUUGACUGUGUCGAUUUGGUGGAUUAAAGAGCUGCCUAGGAGAUUGCUGUGGUCCCUUCUGGAUGUGUCUGGCUGGGUCACGGAGGCCCACUGUUCUUCUGGUGCUGUUCUUCUGUCCUGCUUUCCAGCCACCAGAAACUGAACAUCUGUGCUCUGCCAUGAUAUUUCUGCCUUGGAGCCAGCUGACCAUGGACUGGAUCCUCUGAAACCGAACACACGGGAAGGAGGCUGGGACGCUACGACCUGCAGUCACUGCACCCUACUUGCCAAGCUGCCCCAGCUCCUGUGACGUCUGAUAUCAUGGGAACGGAUGGGCUGAUUGCGUGGGGGACACAGCCAGUGAGGUGAGGUUAGCACCACUCUGAGCCUGCUCCCCACCGCCUCAGCAUUGCUGCUUACACACUCAUGCUCGUGCCCCACACAGCUGAAUCACAGAAAAUAUUGGUAAAAAUAUUACAGUAAUGUUAAAAGUUUACGAUCUUGUGGGGCCACAUUCCCAGCCAUGCAGGGCUGUGUAUAGCUCUCAGGCUAUGAGCUGAAGGUACCUUGUCUGAUUGUAUCUACUAAAACUCUUGCCUGAGAAGAGAUUGGGAUUAAAUUAUGGAUCUCUGAAAAGUAUUUCAGAGUGACUUAAUGCAAGUAUUGGAGCCAUGAUAAAAAUAGUUUCCUGUACUACGGUGCAGAGGGUAAGACAGUGAGGGGGAAGUACAGAGGUAAAACAGAAGGUGUACCUGUCGAUAUUUUUCACCCACGUCAUUCUGAAGCCUUGUUCAUGAUUCUAGGAAUCUUCUAGAUCAGGAGCUGACAGGCCACGUCCAGUACAAAAACUGUGGUCUUUGUACCAGUAAACCGACACCCAAACAGCCCCUCACCUCGCCUGUGACUGCUUUCCUCCCCCAGAGGCAGAGGCAAGGAGGUGCAACAGAGACCAAAGUGACAAAAACUAAGAAUGUUGGAGGAGAGGCAGCAUGAAAAGUUUGUGCUACUAUUGAUAGGAGAAAUUUUGAGCAACUACUUUAAAGUAGCAUGCAAUGUAUUAACUACUGUUAUUCUCCUAUUAUUUGGUUAUGAAAUUUUGUUUUAUCAUCUUCCCAUAAAAUAAUAAAAAGUUUACUUUCUCAUUUGCUAA